AUGUCGCACCCCGGCAAAUUUGUAUCCGUUAACCUCAACCGAUCGUACGGCCAGUCCGCCCAAUCCCAAAGUGGCGGCCGCCCCUCCCGCCCCGCUGCCCCCUCUGCCGGCGGCGGCGGUGGCAUGGUGGUGCUUUCCCGCGGUCGCGGCUCCUCCUCUAUGGCCAAGCCGCAGCAGCCCAAGCUCUCCGUACCGCCGCCUCUGAACCUCCCCUCGCUCCGCAAGGAGCACGAGCGCUUCGAGGGCGCGACCGUCACUGCAGGCGGUGGGGUCGCCUCAGCCCCGCCCCGAUCCGGCGGGGCCGUGGCUGGGUGGAUGAAGCCUGCUCCGGCAUCCGAGAAGCCACUGGGCUCGAUACCGGCUCCUAGUGGCGUUUCCAGGCCCCCGUCGUAUGGAUUCCAGGAGAAAGCUGUCGUCUUGCGGGGCGAGGACUUCCCUUCUCUUAAAGCAGCGGUGGCGCCACCACCUCCGCCACUCGUGCAGCAUCGCCAGAAAGACCUUUAUGGGGCUCAAGCCGCCAUGCCGGAGACACAGCCGAUGCCCCUGGGCAUGCGACCACAUGUGAUGCCCUCGCGUGGUGCUGAGCCCUUGGCUUCUGUUGGCGUCACAGGUACUGGUCUCCAUGGUUCAGUGGAGAAAGUGCAAACUCAUGAUUUGGGGCCGCUGCCACUGGUGCGGCUUAGGUAUGAUGCUGAUUGGGCUGAUGAUGAGCGUGAUACAGUGCUGAGUCUCCCAGAUCGCGACAGUAAAGAGAGGGGAUUUGGUAGGAUCGAGACCAUGGUUCCAGGGCGCGACCUUUAUGGCGUGACGAUGGAGCACUUAAAAAAUGAGUCCUGUGGGAGAGAUUCCAUUGCUCCCAAUAAAGAGGGCGGGCAAGAUGGUUUGUGGCGAUCUCCUAGGCCAAGCCACAAUGUGGAGAAGACAGAUGGUCGUCCUUACAGUGCAGGCAAAGGAAGCGGACAAUUACUUUACCAUGAAGGCAUUACUGAUGGUGCCUCCAAGGAUUUGUGCAAUACUAGUAAGGAUCCUGCUGUGCGAGCCUAUGGACAGAUUGGGACUGAACUGCAUGGAAGCGCACAUGUUGGGGAAACUGCAGGUGAAUGUUACAAUGAUAAUUCUAAUAACUGGUACAGAGGGAAGUCUUUCCAGAAUAAUCCUGUUUCCAAGGUGAUGCCAUAUCUUGGUAAUAAGGGACCUUUAGUUAAUGAGCUGGGAACAAAAUUUGGCAGGGAUAAGUGGCUCGCUGGAGUCCCUGUAAGGCCUUUAGUUGAGCAUACCGGUUUUGAUAGCAUUUCUGCCGUUAGUUUCAGUUCAAUAAAGAAGAAAAAAGAAACAACCAAACCAUCAGAUUUCCAUGAUCCAGUAAGGGAGUCAUUUGAGGCUGAGCUCGAUAGGAUCUUGAGGGUACAAGAGCAAGAGAGACAGCGGGUAGUGGAAGAACAGGCCAGAGUCAGAGAAAUCGCUCGGAAACAAGAUGAGGAGAGGGAGAAGCUGAUAAGAGAGGAGGAGGAAAGGCGGCGGUUGGUGGAAGAUGAGACAAGACAGGCUGUUUGGCAAGCCGAGCAAGAGACGCUGGAAGCUGCUAGAAGAGUUGAGGAGCAGAGAAUUGCUAGGGAGGAAGAGAAGACAAGGGUUGCUAUGGAGGAGGAGCGGCGUAGAGAAGCCGCACGUCAAAAGCUCCUGGAAUUGGAGGCAAGGAUUGCUAGACGGCGAGCCGAAUCAAACAUGAGCGAUGGAAAUCUUACUUCAGCUGCCAAUGAUGAACAAACACUUGGAGCCUUGAAAGAUAGAGAUGUGUCACGGUACAAUAAUGCUGGUGAAAGACAUGAUAUUAGCAGACUGGGUGAGCGCAUCAAUACCUCCAUGUCAUCGGUGGCUUCCAGUCUCAACCGGUACAGUGAUACAGUUCCAAGGGCGGUCAACACUAUGGGAGAUGGACACUCAGGCUUGGUUGAUAGAGAACACGCGUACCACAGUGCGAGGGCUGCAUUUGAAGACCAAGAAAAUCUACAUUACAGUCCACGGUGCGACACUUUGGGUACUAAGAGGGGAAGCUUCCCUAAAAAAGAUUCUUAUGAUGGAUUUCGGGCAUCGCUAGUCGGGCCAUCUUCGAGAGACCAAAUCAAUGAUUCAUCAUGGGCACUGGAAGAUUAUAGUCAAGGAAGAGUUCCAGGGUGGGAUGCACCGAGGGGGAAUAACUGUUUUGACAAGCAGUCUGAAUUUGACACUCAUUUUUUCAAUAGUGAUAGGUUUGGAGAUGCUACAUGGCUGCCUAGUGGUUCCUACGGAAGCUCCAAUGCUCAACAAGGAGAGAGAAUGUUCCAGAACUCCGGGCCUAAUGAUUUCUCCUCUUUUACAAAAUCCUGCUACCCUAUGCGGCAACCACGUGUACCCCCCCCACCUGUUGUGACCUCAAUGCAUGGAAGUGCAAUUAGUGCUUCUAUUCAACGUGCCAAUUCAUCUUUCAUUCAUGAUGUAAUGGGAGAGAGCUCCAGUAGAGAUGAUGAACAAACUAUGCACAGCCAAUAUGGUAGUGCAUACCAAGAGGUAUCCCGCCAGCAUGGGACACCUGCUGAAGGCAUUGUUGUCAAUGAGCAGCAAAAUGGGGACAGGGCGAGCCCUGUCUUGGGCUCACAAUCUUCUCUUUGUGUUUCAAGCCCUCCUAGAUCACCUCCACAUGUUUCACAUGACGAGAUGGAUGUUUCUGGUGAUUCGCCUGCACUGCCAACUUCUGCUGAUGGUUAUCGUACUGUGGUAUCUGAUAAUGACCAAGCGGCUUCAACUUUAGAUGCAGCAAACAUAAGCAGAAUCGCCACCUCAAGCACGGCUUCUCACAUGGAGGAUGAUGAAUGGCCAAGUGAACACAAUGAAUCCAAGCAAAAACAGGAUGUGUAUGAUGAGGAAGGCAAUAGCUACCAAGAAGAUGAAAUCAAUGAUGGCGAUGGUCAUACUCUUGACUUGGCUAAUGAGUUCACAGACGUGCAUCUUGACUUGGAUGAUGAGUUUGCAGAGGAACAUAAUACAACUGCAGAAAUGGAGCCAGUUAUACUUGGAUUUGAUCAGGGUGUACAGGUUGAAAUUCCCCUGAAUAGUGAGCUUGAAUUAACUUCUGUGAAGAGCACAGAACUGGAAGUUGGUGUACACUCGGGCGUCGUGGAGCAAGAGUUGAGAUGUGGUUCAGUUGAUCCUUGUGACCUUGUUACGCUUCAAGACUUAGCUCUUGAUCAAACAAAUCCCUUGACCGAUGAAUCCAAUGUUGAUCCAUCCGGUAGCACAGCUGUGCCAAGUUCCAAGUUACCUGAGGCAUCUUUUGCCCUGCCUAUUGAUUCAUCAACAUCAGCAGUAAUUGACCAGAAUGAAGUUCCUGUUAGUCUGCAGUUCGGUUUGUUUUCCAGGUCAUCUUUAAUACCAACUCCGGUUCGAGCCAUUCAGAUUGGCUCCAUACAGAUGCCGAUCCAUCUCCACAAUCAGAUUAACCCAUCCCUGGCUCAACUGCUCCCUUCAUCAGCUCCUUUAUUCAAGUUUGGUCAGUUGAGGCAUGUCCGCCCUAUUGCCCAGAAUGUUCGACCACAUUCUCAGGCAGUGCCUUCCGUUCAGCCCCCCGCACCAUCUCCACAUAUAUCGAAACAGAAUGGUUCGAGUGGUAUACCCAAUGAGAUGGAUCCAAAUGUAAACCAGAAUACCCCAAGAGAAUCAAAUUUGCAUCAGCGCAAUGAAUCUGAAAUCAACCGGAUGGCUGAUUUAAAUGAAUUUCACAGCCGAUUAGACAGAACUUCAAUUGAAGAAAAUGCAUCUUUUGGACUUUCAAAAGGUGAUUCUCAGAGGAAUAAUGAUCUCUCCUCAAAGCGGAAUCACAAAUCUUCUUUCAAUAACGCAGAAUCUUCUCAAGUUGGUUCAUAUGGGAAAGCCUUGAGUGGCCUAAAGGCAGGCGCUGUAUCUGGUGGAAGUGGGAGGAGAUACGGUUAUGCUGUUAAAGAAUCUAAUAUGGGAUCAACAGGCACAGCUGUUGAACCUUUUCAUAAAGAUUCCAGAGGAUUCCAGAGAAGGUCUCGUAGGAACAUAAGAAGAACUGAAUUUAGAGUGCGGGCAAAUGUUGAGAAGAACGAAGCCCUAGCUUCUGAGUGCCACGAUGAGCAGAAUGAGAAUCUGGUUUCCAAUCGAUUGGCAAGGGAGAUUCUGGUGAGAAAUGUGAACAGAAAGGAAGGUACAAAUGAAGCAAGUGAUAUUAAUGGAGCAGAUUCUUCAUCUACAUCUGCUCAUUAUUAUAGUAAAACAGAGAGAAUCGCACAGAAGGCUCCAUCUUAUGACAGGUCUCAUUGUGGGUACACAGAAUCUAGAGCAGGUGGUAUCCCCGAGGGAGACGCUAAUACCUCGUUACAUGCUGGAGUUGUACGCAUCGUUAGGCAGCAAGGCGUUGAAAUGCCUGCUGAUGCAGAUGGUUUCAUUGAAGUCAGGUCCAAGAAGCAGAUCAUGAGUGUCAGGAGAGAGCAGAGGGAGAAAGAAAAUAGAUCCAAAAUAAGGAUGGCAAAGGCUCCCCGCAAGCAGCAUCAAAUGUCUCUACACAGUUUUAGCAGUUCAAGUAUUUAUAAGGGGACAGUUUCUUUCGGUGGGGAACCUGCGAAGAAAGUUUCUUCGGGUUCUGUCCUUGGAGUUGAAGGAAGGGUCCUUGAUCACACCGAACCAUCAUCUUCAUUCAUGGGUGAUACAGCUUCAAUUACACCCAUAGGGCGGCCACCUUCAGCCAACACAGGACCUCGUACAAACUACCAUGCAAAGAAGCCUAUCCGAAGCCAGGCAACCUCCGACUUGAUAACUUCUAGUACCGCAACAAAGCUUGUGGCAUGCUUAUCAGAAAGCAAUAAUAAAACAUUGUCCAUUGGCACAAACAUGGGCAACUGGGAUAGUUCACAAAUGAACCAGCAGGUUAUGCCAUUAACUCAAAUUCAACUUGAGGAAGCAAUGAAACCAGCAAAGUUUGAACAAGGAGGUUCUGGCUUUCCUUUGGAGUCCAAUAAUGCUCUAUCUCCUACAGUAACCACGGACAUGGCAUACACAUCUGCUAGCCCUAUCAAUUCUCUUUUGGCUGGGGAGAAGAUUCAGUUUGGGGCAGUUACCUCGCCAACCGUACUGGCUCCCAUCACCCGAACAAUUUCAAAAGGGCUUGGUGCUCCAGGUUCAUCUUGGCCUGAAAUGAAGAUUGACCGAAAUUUGCGUGGUGAUAACAGUAGUGCUGCUGUUUUGUUCGAUAAGGAGAAGGCUACUACUAAAGAUCAAUGUUCAAACUCAGAGGAGGUUGAAGCUCAAGCUGAGGCUGAAGCAGCUGCUUCUGCUGUGGCUGUUGCAGCUAUUUGUACUGAUGAGGCAGUUGGAACUGCAGCUUCUGCUUCAGACAAAAAUAGCUUUAGCAGUAAGGAUCUCACUGGGUUAACAGCCGGAGGGGCAAUAACAGGUCAACCUGGUCAAUCAUCUAGAGAGGAGCUACUGACGGUUGCCCUUCCAGCAGACCUGUCAGUUGACACUCCGUCAAUGCCCCUGUGGCCUUCUUUACCAAGCCCACAGGUGCCAGGGCCAACGCUUUCUCAGUUCCCCAUUGCACAGCCGUCCCACUUCUCUUGCUUCGAGAUGAACACAAUGUUAGGAGGACAUCCUUUUGCAUUUGGGCCAAGUGAUGAAUCUGCCGGCACUUUGGGUCAACAGCCUCAAAGAAGCAACGCUUUGCCUUCAGCACAGUUGGGUGCUUGGCCAUCUAUGGUGGAUUCAUUUUAUCGCCCCCCUACUGGAUUCGCUGGUCCUUUCAUUAGCCCUGGAGGAAUCCCAGGCAUGCAAGGUCCUCCACAUAUGGUGGUCUACAACCACUUUGCCCCACUUGGGCAAUUUGGUCAAAUGGGGCUUGGUUUUAUGGGAGCCACUUACAUUCCUGGUGACAAGCAGCCUGAUUGGAAGCAAAACCAAGGACCUUCUGUUGGCAUCAGCCAGAGUGAUCCAAGCAACCAAAGUGUGCUACCUGGUCAAGUAACCUCACCCAGUUUUCCUACUCAAGUGCCGCAUCUACGUGCAACUUCUAUCAUGCCAAUCCCAUCCCCGCUGACAAUGUUUGACAUGGCUUCGUUCCAGUCAUCUGCGAAAAUACAGGUGCAACCUUGUUGGCCACGUGUGCCUAUGCACUCUGUCCCGUUAUCAGUGCAACUGCAACCGCAUCCAAUAGAUGGUACAGUGGCAUCACAGUAUGUUGAUAAUGUGGUAAUUGACAAGUCAAGUACAAAUGAGCGGUUCCAGGAGCCCUCAACAUCAGAUAGCAACAAGAGUUUCCCAAGUAUAGCUGCCUCCCAGUCGUCGGAUGUUAAACAGCCAGCCUCAAGCAGUUCAGAUGCUCGAACUGCUGAGCCUUCAUUUGUCCGGAAAGGUGUGAUCGGCAAUGAAGUCCCAAAUAGCAACCCCAAGUCUGGUCAAGUUGCCAAGAUGCCCUCCAAGCCACACCAGUCUUCAUUACCAUCGGAUCAACAGUUCAAGCAUUCAGUUAAUAAUAAUCAGGAUCGUCUGGCCAGGGUUACCCAAAGGGCUGGAACUGUGAAUGAAUGGCAACGUCGGUCAGGAUAUCCCGGGAGGAGCUCUGGUUCCAACAAGAAAUAUGGCACUGGUAGGGUGAAGCAGAUCUAUGUUGCCAAAUCGUCAUCAAAAAGUAGCCAGGCCCCAUCAAGCUAA
rnacentral:rRNA from 1 species